CGUCCGCAAUCGGCGACCGAACCCGCGCAAAACCCCUUCGACGAGUCGAGUUGUUUGGGAAUGCAGCUCARAAUGGGUGGUAAAUUUCAUCUAAAGCUAAAUACCGGCUGGAGACCGAUAGCGCACAAGUAGAGUGAUCGAAAGAUGAAAAGCACUUUGGAAAGAGAGUUAAAAAGCACGUGAAAUUGUUGAAAGGGAAAGCGCUUGCGACCAGACCUGCCCGGGGGUGAUCAGCCGCCGUUCUCGGUGGUGCACUCGCCCGCGAUCAGGCCAGCAUCGGUUUGGGCGGUCGGACAAAGGCCGUGGGAACGUAGCUCCUUUCGGGGAGUCUUAUAGCCCGCGGCGCAAUGCGGCCAGCCCGGACCGAGGACCGCGCUUCGGCAAGGAUGCUGGCGUAAUGGUUGCAAGCGACCCGUCUUGAAACACGGACCAAGGAGUCUAACAUCUAUGCAAGUGUUUGGGUGUCAAACCCAUGCGCGCAAUGAAAGUGAACGGAGGUGAGAACCCGUCAGGGCGCAUCAUCGACCGAUCCUGAUGUCUUCGGAUGGAUUUGAGUACGAGCAUAGCUGUUGGGACCCGAAAGAUGGUGAACUAUGCCUGA
rnacentral:rRNA from 1 species